GGGGCAGGCCAGGUGGUCGCUGGCCCAGCGGGGCCAGAGGAAAGUCCGAGCUCCAGAGGGCAGGAUGGUCGCUAACGGCGACUGCCCCGACAGGGGUCAGGAAAGUGCCACAGAAACCAGACCGCCUCGGGUUCGGGCCCGGGGUAAGGGUGAAAGGGUGAGGUAAGAGCUCACCAGCGUCCCGAGCGAUCGGGGCGGCUUGGCAAACCCCAUCCGGAGCAAGACCGAAUAGGAGGGCGAAGGGGUGGCCCGCCCCAUGCCCUCGGGUAGGUCGCAUGAGGUAUGCGGCAACGCAUGCCCCAGAUAAAUGACCACCACUCCCUUCGGGGAGGACAGAACUCGGCUUAUGGCCUGUCGGUCCU
rnacentral:RNase_P_RNA from 1 species